rnacentral:misc_RNA from 1 species
CAUAAGAGCAAUCAACAAGUCUAAAUUCAUAACAAAGUACACCCACUUCAUGAGCUACGAUGAUCAGCUUAAGUAAGAGGGUGUUUAAAUUAUGAUCUGUAUACAGAGUUUGUAGUAAAUAAAAAGCACUACUAGGCUGAGUACUAGUGCUCCGUAUCUCUCUUAUUGUUUAUGUCAUCAUUUGCCACUAUCAUUGACAUUGAUUGUAUUGGAAUCUAAAUUU